GAUGAACGCUAGCGAUAGGCUUAACACAUGCAAGUCGAGGGGCAGCAUGGUCUUAGCUUGCUAAGACUGAUGGCGACCGGCGCACGGGUGCGUAACGCGUAUGCAACUUGCCUCACAGAGGGGGAUAACCCGUCGAAAGACGGACUAAUACCGCGUACACUUGGGAUAGGGCAUCCUGACCCAAGGAAAUGAAAUUCGCUGUGAGAUAGGCAUGCGUCCCAUUAGCUAGUUGGUGAGGUAACGGCUCACCAAGGCGACGAUGGGUAGGGGAACUGAGAGGGUGCACCCCCACACUGGUACUGAGACACGGACCAGACUCCUACGGGAGGCAGCAGUGAGGAAUAUUGGUCAAUGGGCGAGAGCCUGAACCAGCCAAGUCGCGUGAAGGAUGACUGUCUUAUGGAUUGUAAACUUCUUUUAUACGGGAAUAACAAGAGCCACGUGUGGCUCCCUGCAUGUACCGUAUGAAUAAGCAUCGGCUAACUCCGUG
rnacentral:rRNA from 1 species